rnacentral:misc_RNA from 1 species
GUAGGUGAACCUGCGGAAGGAUCAUUAACAAGUCCGCUGCGUGCGCAAUAUUCUUUGCGUGCGCACAUCCGUUCCAUGUACAGUCCGCUGUGCAUGACAUUUCUGCAAAUCUCUGAUUGUCACAAUUACAACGAAUACAAACUUUUAACAAUGGAUCUCUAGGCUCUU